UUAAAACAAGCCCAAUACAAAAAACUCAUUAAAAAAAUCCAAAAUAAGCCCAGCAAGCCCGAAGUACAUUGCUAAUAUCAUGUCAUAGAAGUAAAUUGUUAAUACCAUGUCAUAGAAGUACAUUGUUAAUACCAUUUCAUAAAAUAAAAAAAAAUCAAAAAAAAAAACCCCCAAAAAAGCCCAACAAGACAUCCGAUAUCAUUUGCAGAAACUACAUCCAAUUGUCCACAGUUUCACCAGAAACAAUCGCAAAGACAUAAAGAAAUAUCUCUACAAGAAGAAAAAAAAUUACAUUGUU
rnacentral:lncRNA from 1 species